rnacentral:rRNA from 1 species
GACAGAGGGGGCAAGCGUUGCUCGGAAUCACUGGGCGUAAAGGGCGCGUAGGCGGUCAGCACAAGUCAGUUGUGAAAUCUCCGGGCUUAACUCGGAAAGGUCAACUGAUACUGUGCGACUAGAGUGCGGAAGGGGCAACUGGAAUUCUCGGUGUAGCGGUGAAAUGCGUAGAUAUCGAGAGGAACACCUGCGGCGAAGGCGGGUUGCUGGGCCGACACUGACGCUGAUGCGCGAAAGCCAGGGGAGCGAACGGG